UGCCUAUGAUUAUACAAUUCCAUCCAUGGAGAAAGCCCUUGUGAAGACAGACAUUCAGAUAGCUGUUCCUUCUGGGUGCUAUGGAAGAGUGGCUCCACGUUCUGGCUUGGCUGUAAAGCACUUCAUAGAUGUAGGAGAUUCACUUGCAAUAGGCCUAUUAGGCUGUACCUCAAAGGUCUUCCACGGUGGAAAAUUUCCAGCCUUCUGUGAUCAUUCAUUCCAACAUGGAACAACUUGCUCUGUACUAAGGACUUGCCUUGUUAAGUGCAAGCGACAUCAUCUGCAGUCAACCUCUCUCCAAAGAGUAUGAAAACAGCCGGCCCAAUCUUCAUGUCAGAUCUUUUCCUAAGUACUAAGGACUAAACUAAUAAACCGGUAAAAAGGAAACCUUAUAUAAUAAUUUGAAUUGGUGAAAGGUUUGUUACUGUUCUGCUAAAAAAAAAAAAAUAGAUCGUCUAGACAGAAUGAACUGCCUUUGACAUGUGAAUUAGAUCUCCAUGUUAGAAACGGAGGGCUGUUAGCCACAUUAUCUGUGCUUCUGUAAACACAUCAAGUUCCUGGCUCCGGGACAGCUGAGGGCAAGUCUGGGGCAUGUAUCUUCUGGGCCGCAGCAAGGUCUCCUUUAAAGAUCUAUUUUACUUUAUAAUAUCAAACAGGUACUAAUUAGACAUUUAAAACUAAUCUUGGCCCAGCAAGAUGGCUCGCUGGGUCCUCGCCUGCUCCGAGCCUAAGGACUUGAGUUCAGACCCACGUGGUGGCAGGGGACCCUUGGCUGAGCGGUUGUCUUCUGACCUCCACACAUGUGCUGUUGCAACAACAGAAGUUUCAGCCGGUGUCAUAGAUGAAGAUUAUAGAGGAAAUGUCGGCGUCGUGCUGUUCAAUUUUGGAAAAGAGAAGUUCGAGGUGAAAAAAGGUGACCGGAUCGCGCAG
rnacentral:lncRNA from 1 species